rnacentral:rRNA from 1 species
GACGAACCGUGCGAACGUUGUUCGGAAUAACUGGGCUUAAAGGGCGCGUAGGCGGGCUGCCAAGUUCGGGGUGAAGUCCUCCCGCUCAACGGGAGAACUGCCCCGAAUACUGGCGGUCUCGAGGGAGGUAGGGGCGUGCGGAACUAUGGGUGGAGCGGUGAAAUGCGUUGAUAUCCAUAGGAACUCCGGUGGCGAAGGCGGCACGCCGGACCUCUUCUGACGCUGAGGCGCGAAAGCCAGGGGAGCGAACGGG